GCCAUUCUCCUGCCUCAGCCUCCCGAGUAGCUGGGAUUACAGGCGCUCGCCACUGCGCCCGGCUAAUUUUUUGUAUUUUUAGUAGAGACGGGGUUUCACCGUGUUAGCCAAGAUGGUCUCGACCUCCUGACCUCGUGAUCUGCCCGCCUCGGCCUCCCAAUGUGCUGGGAUUACAGGCAUGAGCCACCCCACCCAGAAAUCUCUUUAUGUUUAAGAAGAGGAAAGUGAAGAACGGAAAGGGAAGAAACUGCCCAUCCUCAUGGUUCUAGUGAUGCAUUUUGCUGCGUCUCUCCAAUUCUCAUCCAUGUAAGGAGGGAGGAAACAGUGUGAGUACAGUCUGAAUACCUCAGUCUCCAGCCUAUACCUCAGAAAAGGUGUGAUAAGAGUGUGGCUUGUAUAGGGCAGGUGGUACAGAGAGGGAAUAUGGGAAAGUCCAGGGAAGGAGAAUGGAGUGGCUGAGAGCUCAGGACUCAGGUAGUGGGCUUCCCUGUCCAAGAAGAUGGAUGCCUUUCAAGGGGUCCCAGUCAAAUGCAAAGCUCCCCUUCCUCACCAUCCUGCUGAAGCUAGUCUUGAUAAGUCCAGGUGCUAGGCAGUUCACCCUAAUGUUCCUUGGGGCCAGCUCUAUGGCCAGGGUCUUGGUCAGGCCCAGCAAGGCUGUUUUACUGACAUUGUAAGGACUGAAGCCCUGGAGAAAGAAGAGAAUGUGUUAGACUCAUAGUUUCCAGGUCAUUCUUGGUUCUAAUAACUAGACAUAGAGGGCAGUGCUCAAUAGGGAUCUCCUGUAAGGGAGGGGCAGAGUUAGGGAACUGUCUUGUGGCUAAACCUCCCCUAGGUUGUGGUUUGUGGAGGCAAGGCAUCUAUUUUGUGGGCAGGGACUUGGUGGUGUGAUUCUACAAGGGGACACAAACUUCCUUGGGUAAUAGGAGGGGUGGAAAGAUGUGGAGUGGAGGGUGGGAUGGAAGAGGUAGACAAAAGGGUUCUUACAGGAGAUGGACUGAAGGCUGCUAUGGAAGACACGAUCACCACUGAGCCGCCUCUGGAAAAAGAAGAGAGCUGACCAUCUUCCCAUUGUGGACCAGUGCCCUCAGCCCGUGUGGUGUCCCCUCUCACCCAGGCUCUCUCUCACUCUCUGUACCCUCGUUUCUCCAUUUCUGGCACCACUGCCUUUGUCAUCAGGGCUGGGGCCUUCACAUUAAUGUCCAGAGUCUGAAGCCAAGAGAAGAAGGGGAAACAGCAUGAGUGAAGAGCACUGGAGGAGGCAUGAAAAAAUGAGGAGUUAGAGUGGGUUCCUAGGAUGUUUGUCAGAGCUGACGAAGAUCUUAGGAUGAUAUACCUGCAUCUUACACAUGAAGGAACUGAGGUUCAGGGAGAAGUAGCUCUCACCAGCUGCUCAGCUAGAUAUUGAUACAUUAGGUUCAGGUGAGCAAAAAUGGAGCCUGGUUCAUCUUGUUUCAUAAUCAGCCAAGUAUGAUUUGGGCCAGAAGGGGCCUUUGGAUUUGAGCUGUGUUUUCUCUGUUUCUUCCAAGUAGGUAGAGCCUGGAAUUGUCAGCCUCCUGGACCUGCCCUAGACUACCUGCCCUAGAGUAGGCCAUGCUUCUCAGGGAAAAUGUGGCCUGACCUUGGAUAUGUGGGGUUGUUCUAGCACUUCUCUGGCUUCUGGGCUUAGGGAGUGAGAUGUUCUUGGCCCUCUAGGAAGGACUGUCUGGCUAGGCAUGGUUAGAAAGUGGGAUCAUGAGGAGUCACCUUCUGGGGAAGCUGGGGGACAGGCUACAAUCAGAAUCCCCACAUCCAUAAUCUAAAACAAAUGUAUGACCCUGUUUACACUGUUCUAGACAACUGCUUAUAUUAAAAUAUUUCAAUCUUACAGAAAAAUUGGAGAUAGAAGUACAAUGAAUGUCUAGAUAUCCUUCACUUAGAUUCACCAAUUGUUCACAUUUUGUCCUAUUUGUCCUCUCUGUAGAUCUGUACAGUUUUUUAAAUGAACCAUUGAAACUCAGUUGCAAGUUUUCUGAAAGAUUUUAUAUAAUAAAAUCAAAAAUUACAAAGAACAAAAAUAAAAAAAUGUAAAUUAAAAAAAAAAAACAAA